rnacentral:rRNA from 1 species
UACGUAGGGUGCAAGCGUUAUCCGGAUUUACUGGGCGUAAAGCGUGUGCAGGCGGGGAGACAAGUGGUGUAUGAAAUUUCCCGGCUUAACCGGGAAGGGUUAUGCCAGACUGUCUUUCUGGAGUGCGAGAGAGGGGCGUGGAAUUCCGGGUGUAGCGGUGAAAUGCGUAGAGAUCGGGAGGAACACCAGAGGCGAAGGCGGCGACCUGGACAGUAACUGACACUCAACUACGAAAGCGUGGGGAGCAAACAGG